GAUUUGAUUUGAAACAUAUGCACUAUGUAUUUUGCCGAUACUAAACAUAGUAACAUGUUUUGUAUCCUGUUCUUAAUUUCUACCUUCCAUGAUUGAAUUCACAGAAGCAAUCCUGUUUUGAGGUUGAAGGCCUCGAUGGAACCACCAGGGCUGACUGAGGGGCUCACAAAUAGCAAACAAGAGAGCAUAAUAGGAACUCAAAAUGGGUCUGAUCUGUUCAAUGAAAUGAAACAUCAGUUUCUGAGUUUCAAAAGGCAGAAAUUCCUGGAGAACUUGGAAUGCUAUGAAAAUCUUGCCAAGAGUCAAGCACCGAAGACUCUAGGGCU